UGGCCUGUAUGUGUGUGUUUUAAAGCAC
rnacentral:piRNA from 1 species